rnacentral:rRNA from 1 species
AUUGAACGCUGGCGGCAGGCCUAACACAUGCAAGUCGAGCGAGAAAGGUCUUCGGACUGAGUACAGCGGCGGACGGGUGAGUAAAGCGUAGGAAUCUACCUGGUAGUGGGGGAUAACUUGGGGAAACUCAAACUAAUACCGCAUACGCCCUACGGGGAAAGCGGGGGACCUUCGGGCCUCGCGCUAUCAGAUGAGCCUGCGUAGGAUUAGCUAGUUGGUGAGGUAAAGGCUCACCAAGGCGACGAUCCUUAGCUGGUCUGAGAGGAUGAUCAGCCACACUGGGACUGAGACACGGACCAGACUCCUACGGGAGGCAGCAGUAAGGAAUAUUGGUCAAUGGAGGCAACUCUGAACCAGCCAUGCCGCGUGCAGGAUGACGGCCCUAUGGGUUGUAAACUGCUUUUAUACAAGAGAAAACCCGAGUACGUGUACUCGGUUGAUAGUAUUGUAAGAAUAAGCAUCGGCUAACUUCGUGCCAGCAGCCGCGGUAAAGU